GUAUGUAUACAAAUACAAUAUUGGCAAAAUAUUUUUAAUUUCCAGUAUUGCUUGAAGAUUAACAUGCAAUAUUGUAUAGCAAUACUAUGCCAAUUAAACGUUUUCGAUAUAAUUAAUAAUCAUAGAAUAUUGUUUUAGUAGGUAAUAAUUAUUAAUAAUAUCUUACGGCCUGAUUUAUAAUCAAAGUUAAAGUGUUUAUUUCUUAAAGUGUUAGAGAAAAAUAGAUACAAAAAACCGGUUGCAAAUCUAGUUGCGUACUAUAUUGAAAACUGCUUGUCGGAUAACACGCGAACACGCCUGCGGAACGGGCCAACUUUAGCAAUCGAACUCGGCUACUAUUAUUUAAGGUUAGCGUUGUGUAUUUAUUUGUACCUACCUAAAUAGUAAAUAGUUACAUACUUCGGUGUUUUGUGAUUUUGUGCAAUAAUCUGUAACUCAACAUAACUUCAGAGUGAUGAAGCUUCUAAUGAUGCCUUAUAUGUUAACCGACCUAGAUAUCAGGAAAUAUAUCGGAUUUUCCCUGGCUAGUGCUGGAGAUAGAGAGGGUGGAAAAAAGUCCAGGCCGGAACCGAUAUCAGGACAAAAAUAAGAUGUGCAUGUGAUAAAAAAUGUUUGUUAUUUAAUUAAUAUAUAUGUGGGUAUUGUUCAAUUAA